GGGGUUGUAGCUCAGUGGUAGAGCGUUUGCCUAGCAUAUGUGAUGCACUGGGUUCGAUUCUCAGCACCA
rfam:Ictidomys tridecemlineatus contig109614, whole genome shotgun sequence.